GCGGGGCUCGAACCCAUGAACCCGGGAGAUCAUGACCUGACGCGAAACCAAGAGUCAGCAGCUUAACCACCCAGGCGCCCCUUUAAGAUUUCUGUUUUUGAAGCUGAAUUUAAAAAGAUCACUUCUUAACACCUAGAGUGAAGUCAACCCACUUGUUGAAUCUUCGGCUAUGCCUGUGUAUAUACUUAAUAUUUUCUUUCAAUAAACUACGUACCUAAAAUAACAGAGCCAGAUGAAACAGCUUGAGUUAGGAGUAAACCUAGACAUAUGUUCUCCAUUAAAUGACUGGCGGUGAGGGGGCAGGAGAACUCGAAGCUGCUUCGCACAACUCAUUACCCUGCAGGCCAGCUGAUGUUCAGAGAUUUGUCUGGGCGACAUCAGUGGUUCCUCUGACGCGUUGUAGAAUGGCAAUGGCUUGGGGUUCAAUGAGUGUGUGUUGAGUCCUGGCUGCCCCCCCCCCCCCCCUGGGGCCAGGGAACGCCAGCGUGGCCUCUGCCUACAAAUCCCACGCGUCUGGGUGGGUUUCAUGCGGAAAAGUCCAGGAUCCUCUCAUGUCAGGUAGUAACACCUGUGGAUGUUUCAGGAUUCCUCCUCAUCAGCGCCCUGUACUUUCUUUUCAGUUCCUGAACUUUUCGGCUUUCAUGGCGGUAAUAGUCACUUCGGACUUGCCCAGCCUUCAGGACACCUUCACUGCGCUUUAGCAGUCCGGCAAGGGCCCCAGGAUAAGGGAGCCAACAAGAGCUUCGAGCAGACUCCACAUGUAGUGUGGAGCCCGACUCUGUAUCACGACCCUGGGAUCAUCACCUGAGCCGAAAUCAAGAGUCAGACGCUCAACCUACUGAGCCACCAGAUGUCAGUGUUUUGGAAGCGUUCACAGAAACAGAGGGAACCUGCAUUCCAGCUAUCAACGACACUGAGGAAGUGUCCUUCUGUUGAAUCAAGGUCUCGCACAUGUUUUUCCCUCUUCAAAGGAACAUUACCCGGUUGAGCCCCUUCUCAGCAUUCACUAUGGAUCUUAUUGUUGAAGAAGAAAGGGAGAGGCAGGUAGAGGUGCAGCAGAUCAAGGUGUCUCAUCUCUUCUUUUCAAACUACUCCUAGAACUUCAAUAGACCCCACGGAUGGGGAGGCAGUGUUGGCCUCCCAGGUAUCAGUGGUUUGAAGAGCUGUGGAUGGAGGUUCUGAAGGCUGGAGCUUGAGAGUUCCCAGGUGUGUCCUGUGACACCUCUGGUCGUGCCUCGUUGCCUAGCCCUCAGUGCCCUUGCUCUUUUAAUCCCAGUGACACAUUGCUCCGUUGGGAAAUUGCAAACGUGGACUUGGCCAGCCUCCCUCCACAUCCUCCCUCGGUGAUGCUGGCUAAUCUUCCCUCCUCUCCCUCCAUGGAUUAAACUUCGUUGAACGUACCUGUCACCCGGCAGAGAUCAGGCUCACCUCCAUAGGCUCGGUGCCUAUGGAGUGGUGGCAGCUUAGCAAAUAUAUGUCGGGUUAAUAUAUGAAGGGGUUGCUCCAAUUUUCAAGUAUCAUCUAUAUGUUAUGAGUAUCCUAAGGGCUACCAAAGGCUUCCUCUUUGCUAACCAUUUACUCUUAUUUUCAGGAGUAGGUGCAUUAAUCAGAUUCUUAGCUUGAAUAUGUUUGGUACUUCUUUGGAAAAAAAAAAAAGAACACAGAAUUCCUGUUAUGGCCCCAUAAAUAUUUUUUGAGCAUUUCAUAUGUACCAGGAGAUGCUGGAGAUCCAAAGGUGAAUAUGAUGUAGUCCCAGUUUCUCAUUAUCCUGGAUGCGUCAGCCAGGAGUUAAUAAGGUGUUGAAAAAACAUUUGUUGGGCAGAAGACAUGAAUCGACACUUCUCUAAAGAAGACAUCCAGAUGGCCAACAGGCACAUGAAAAGAUGCUCAACGUCGCUCCUCAUCAGGGAAAUACAAAUCAAA